UACGUAGGCAGCAAGCGUUGUUCGGAGUUACUGGGCGUAAAGAGCUCGUAGGCGGUUUGUCGCGUCUGCCGUGAAAGUCCGGGGCUCAACUCCGGAUCUGCGGUGGGUACGGGCAGACUAGAGUGAUGUAGGGGAGACUGGAAUUCCUGGUGUAGCGGUGAAAUGCGCAGAUAAUCAGGAGGAACACCGAUGGCGAAGGCGGCAUCCUGGACCAACACUGACGCUGAGGAGCGAAAGCCAGGGGGAGCAAAACGGG
rnacentral:rRNA from 1 species